rnacentral:rRNA from 1 species
CUACGGUGAAUACGUUCCCGGCCCUUGUACACACCGCCCGUCAAGCCAUGGAAGCUGGGUGUACCUAAAGUCGAUAACCGUAAGGAGUCGCCUAGGGUAAAACUAGUAACUGGGGCU